rnacentral:rRNA from 1 species
CCCCUAGACGUUCUGGGCCGCACGCGCGCUACACUGACCAGUGCAACAAGCAUCCGUCCUUGGCCGACAGGCUCGGGCAAUCUUUGAACGCUGGUCGUGAUGGGGAUAGACUUUUGCAAUUUUUGGUCUUCAACGAGGAAUUCCUAGUAAACGCAAGUCAUCAACUUGCAUUGAUUACGUCCCUGCCCUUUGUACACACCGCCCGUCGCACCUACCGAUUGAAUGGUCCGGUGAAGCCUCCGGAUUGGCGCGCACCUCGGUGCCGCCGAGAAGUUGGCUAAACCUUACCAUUUAGAGGAAGGUGAANUCGUAACA